rfam:Danaus plexippus plexippus isolate F-2 unplaced genomic scaffold DPSCF300351, whole genome shotgun sequence.
UGCAAGAGCACUCUGUGGUAACAUUAAUAUGUUAUUUACAAUUUGUUAUCUUGCUAUAUAAAAUCCAUUAAAUCCUAUUCCUGGUGUGGUCGUUCUCGCAACUUGGUCAUAAUGGUGGAAACAUUAAUAUUGGUACUAUUA